rnacentral:tRNA from 1 species
GGUAAUGUGGCCGAGCGGUCUAAGGCGCUACGUUAAGGAGAUGUCCUUAAUUCUAUCUUGAAUCAAGAUUCCGUAGUCCGAAAGGGCGUGGGUUCGAAUCCCACCGUUAUCA